CAGGCACAACAUGGUUCCAACAUGGACAUGGCAGGAUCUGUCGCUGCUGCUGGACUGCUGGUAUACUGAUGAAGCCAAAGCCAGAGAAUGUACCUGCUGGCAUACUGAAGAAGCCAAAGCCAGAGCAUGCCUUUCAGGCCUGAAUCUUCACCUAAAACAAGCCCACGAUUCUGAAGUUGGAUAGCUCAACUGUUGUCGCAGUUAUAAAUAACAUACAUUGGAACUUCAGAAGAAUUUGGGAUAUGUACAAAAAGAUAAAAAAUCUGAAGACAGAACAGUAGUCCUUAGUUCUGGGAGAACUAGGAACAAUGAUGUUUGCUUUCUCCAGUAUACCAGGAACAUACCGAAUUGGUUCUAAGUUUGUAACUGGCAUGUUAUAGUCUCUGAUCUUGUAAAUUAAUAUACAAGGUUAUUAAGUUCAUGACGUUUUAAAUGAUUGUAAAGCUUGUCCUUCCAACUUGUAUGUUGUGAUCUAAAAUUAUGAAUAAGAAACAUGUUCGCUGGAAA